ensembl:miRNA
UGGGGUGUCUGUGCUAUGGCAGCCCUAGCACACAGAUAUGCCCAGAUAAAGCCUGAACGUUGGGCGUAUCUGUGUGCUAGGGCUGCCAUAACAA